GGUAAAUUACACAGGUGUCUGGUAGCUUGAGGGGCUUCCUGUUACCCUGCUGCUAGUUCUCCUUGUAGGCACUUGGAGAUUGUCCUCAGGCCUGCACAGCACGUGCAGUGAAACAGGCUGAGCUCACAGCUCUCUCAGACUUGUUUCUCUCUCUUGGAUGUUCUCCGAACCCUUCGCAGUACAGCGCUACUCCGUGCGGAUGGCAGCUGCAGUAUGCCGGCAGCAGCCAAACCAGUGCCAGGCCCUGCUGCAGGGCCUUCACAGCCGCCUGUGAAAGAAACCCAUUAAAGCUCCUACACACGUGAAUAAACUCACAGGAAACAAGCGCAGGUCCUCAUUGCAGCACAUCUCCCAUCCCUGCGGACGCAAGCCAGGCCAUUUUGCAGUGUCAAACACCUCACACCCCCCGAGCACACCGCUGCUUCUGACACAGGAGCCUGCUGCUGGGGCUUGGCAGGAAUCCCUGACGCAAUGCACUUAAGAAACAGUUGGCGGCCAACUCCUUAACCUUAAUUUCCAAAGACAACAGCAAUUCAUCUCUGGAUGUUGGUGAAACUGACUGCUUCUGCCACAUGGCCAAAUAAGGACAGCAACCACUCCUUCUGCUUCCAAGGGAGGAAAAAAGGGAAAGAUGCACCCCAUUUUCCAGUGCAACAGAAGGGCUGGAAUGAACUGCAAGUAAUCCAUUAUUUUUAGAGAUGCUAAAGCUGCUAUAUUAGAUCUUAAUCUAGGCCUUCUGCUGAGAGAAAGGAAAGUUGUAGUGAUGGCCUAGGAAAGAUAACCUCCUCCUACACCCCUUUUUUUGAUCAAGUGUUCGCACGAUCUGUUUCAUCAGCUAGGAAGUUUUUUGCUGGAAGCUAAGAUGACAGAUUUAACUUCUCCACCACUCUUCUCCCGUAUGUUCAAGUCUUCUGUGGAAGACAAUGCACUUACUUGGGACUCUUCUGCAUGAACUGAAGAAGCAGUGUGCUAGCACUCCUCUCUUCCACAAGGUCACAGAAAGCGUGUACUCUUAUGGAAUGCUGUGUGGAAACAAAAAAGACUUCAGACUUUUUGGUUUAAGUUCUUCGCAAUGAGAAAGGCCAAUAACCAUUCAGCUAUUGUCCCCUAUAUACACUUAGCUGCUUAUAAUACUUGGUAUUGAACUUUUAA